GAGUUUGAUCCUGGCUCAGGAUGAACGCUAGCUACAGGCUUAACACAUGCAAGUCGAGGGGCAGCAUGAACUUAGCUUGCUAAGUUUGAUGGCGACCGGCGCACGGGUGAGUAACACGUAUCCAACCUGCCUAUGACUCGGGGAUAGCCUUUCGAAAGAAAGAUUAAUACCCGAUGGCAUAGUUCUUCCGCAUGGUAGAACUAUUAAAGAACUUCGGUCAUCGAUGGGGAUGCGUUCCAUUAGGUUGUUGGCGGGGUAACGGCCCACCAAGCCUUCGAUGGAUAGGGGUUCUGAGAGGAAGGCCCCCCACAUUGGAACUGAGACACGGUCCAAACUCCUACGGGAGGCAGCAGUGAGGAAUAUUGGUCAAUGGACGAGAGUCUGAACCAGCCAAGUAGCGUGAAGGAUGACUGCCCUAUGGGUUGUAAACUUCUUUUAUACGGGAAUAAAGUGAGGCACGUGUGCCUUUUUGUAUGUACCGUAUGAAUAAGGAUCGGCUAACUCCGU
rnacentral:rRNA from 1 species